AGAUGAUCUGGAGAGAGAAUUCUCACCUUCAUUAGAUAUGAUCGCUGCUUUGUCCAGUUUGGUUCUGAUGUCGUCUUUGACACCAGACAGAUGAAACACACAGUUGUAUCUC